AGGAUGAACGCUGGCGGCGUGCCUAAUACAUGCAAGUCGAACGGGCUCUUCGGAGCUAGUGGCGGACGGGUGAGUAACACGUUGGUACCUACCCCUAAGUGGGGAAUAACUGCCCGAAAGGGUGGCUAAUACCGCAUAAUCCCGCAAGGGUAAAGCAGUAAUGCGCUUAGGGAGGGGCCUGCGUCCCAUUAGCUUGUUGGUAGUGUAAUGGACUACCAAGGCGACGAUGGGUAGCUGGAUCGAGAGGUUGACCAGCCACACUGGGACUGAGAUACGGCCCAGACUCCUACGGGAGGCAGCAGUAAGGAAUCUUCCACAAUGGACGAAAGUCUGAUGGAGCAACGCCGCGUGCAGGAUGACGGCCUUCGGGUUGUAAACUGCUUUUAUAUGGGAAGAUUAUGACGGUACCAUAUGAAUAAGGACCGGCUAACUACGCGCCAGCAGCCGC
rnacentral:rRNA from 1 species